CCUACGGGAGGCAGCAGUGAGGGAUAUUGGUCAAUGGACGAGAGUCUGAACCAGCCAAGUAGCGUGAAGGAUGACUGCCCUAUGGGUUGUAAACUUCUUUUAUAUGGGAAUAAAAUGUUCCACGUGUGGGAUUUUGUAUGUACCAUCUGAAUAAGGAUCGGCUAACUCCGUGCCAGCAGCCGCGGUAAUACGGAGGAUCCGAGCGUUAUCCGGAUUUAUUGGGGUUAAAGGGAGCGUAGGUGGAUUGUUAAGUCAGUUGUGAAAGUUUGCGGCUAAACCGUAAAAUUGCAGUUGAAACUGGCAGUCUUGAGUACAGUAGAGGUGGGCGGAAUUCGUGGUGUAGCGGUGAAAUGCUUAGAUAUCACGAAGAACUCCGAUUGCGAAGGCAGUUCACUGGACUGCAACUGACACUGAGGCUCGAAAGUGUGGGUAUCAAACAGGAUUAGAUACCCCAGUAGUC
rnacentral:rRNA from 1 species